rnacentral:rRNA from 1 species
CCUACGGGAGACAGCAGUGAGGAAUAGUGGUCAAUGGACGAGAGUCUGAACCAGCCAAGUAGCGUGAAGGAUGACUGCCCUAUGGGUUGAAAACUUCUUUUAUAUGGGAAUAAAAUGUUCCACGUGUGGGAUUUUGUAUGUACCAUAUGAAUAAGGAUCGGCUAACUCCGUGCCAGCAGCCGCGGUAAUACGGAGGAUCCGAGCGUUAUCCGGAUUUAUUGGGGUGAAAGGGAGCGUAGGGGGAUUGUUAAGUCAGUUGUGACAGUUUGCGGCUCAACCGUAAAAUUGCCGUUGAAACUGGCAGUCUUGCGUCCAGUAUAGGUGGGCGGAUUUCGUUGUGUCGCGG